rnacentral:rRNA from 1 species
AUGCCGUCUAUCACCACCAUAGCCGUGCCGCGGCUCGAUCUGCUGCUCCUGAGCGCAGCCACCUCGUCCCCGACGCCGAGCUCCUUCUCCCCUGCCUUCUUUUCCCCGUCAUCUCCGUGUUCUCUUCUUCUCUUUUUCUCCUGUUUACUCGCAUCUCCCUCUUAUCUCUCUUGCUCUCUGUUACAGAGGCCGCCAUGGACGCCCGAGGUCCUCCGCUCCGAGUCUCCGACCCACACCCCGGCGUCCCUGCCGACGUCGUCGCCUAGGAAGACCAUCAUGCCCGCUGCAGGAGCUUCGAGCCGACCCCGCAGCAUGUAG